rnacentral:lncRNA from 1 species
GAAAGACCAAGUGUGGAUUCCCAGGUACAGAUGCAGCACAAGAGGAACGUGCUCCCCAGCCUUUGGAAGCUGUCCAUCUUUCCUUUCUCCUGUCACCUGGAAAAGCAUUUGGGUUUGAGGAAUAGUGGGGUACUUUGCCAGUUAGGCUGCUGGGACAUCCAUUGAUCUUUGGAGAGCUAUUUCCUUGGCUUCUCUCCAUGACGAUUCCUGACUUGUGGCCCUGGCAGUCUUGGGAAGACAUCAUCCAGCUUCUUCAAUCCAGACCCUGGGCCCCUCCUUUCCCCAGGAUUGCCCCCACCCAGCCUGGACACAUUGACUGAACUGUUUUCUAGGACACUGGACUCUAUAGAAUGAGCAAACUUUUGUGACUACACCACAGGAACCUGCAGUGGGGCAUAAUGUUGUCAAGCAGAGAGACACAGAAGGGGAAAACAGCAUUCAAACCACCGGGCUCCCCAGGCUGUUCUGACUCUCCUCCUUCUCCACUGAUGUUGACAAAAAGUUGGAUUGUGAUAGAAGCAACCAGCAACCCAAAUCUUGGGUCCCUGGGGGUAGGAGAAUCUAGGAUUCAGCCAGUCCAAGGGAACCAGUCUUGCAUUUGGAACACAGUAGCAGGAUUAUUCUGAGGCACAGAGGAGAGAGAGCAGCACUUGGAAGAAACAAAGGUGAAUCCAGACAAGAGGAAGUUGAUUAAGAAGUAAGUGUGCUUGGAGAUUGAGAGGGUGGUCAAGCCUGGGGUGAUUAACUGGUGUGUCUGAAAAGGCACAUUCCAAAUUGCAUAACAUCUCAGCAUCUCUGGACUGUCAGUGGGGAGGACAAGGUGAGUGUGGGGAGCCCAGG